AUGAAGAUAGGUGACUUGUAUUUCUCAUUCACAAAUCCCUCUUUGUUUAUGCUGCUCACUCUCAGUUUGGUCUUACUGCUGGUUCAUUUUGUUACUAAAAAGGGAGGAGGAAAGUCAGUACCCAAUGCUUGGCAAUCCUUGGUAGAGCUUAUUUAUGAUUUCGUUCCGAACCUGGUAAACGAACAAAUAGGGUAUGAUACCUUAUAG
rnacentral:lncRNA from 1 species